rfam:Salmo salar isolate Sally breed double haploid chromosome ssa11, whole genome shotgun sequence.
GAGUCUAACGUGCGUGCAAGUCAGAGGGUUUUCUCCAAACACACCCCGUGGCGCAAUGAAAGUGAGGAACGGUGCACGCCAGCUGAGGUGGGAUCACUGCCCUAUUGGGCCGGGAGCACCACCGGCUCGUCUUGCCGCUCUGUCGGGAGGUGGAGCGUGAGCGCGUGCGAUAGCACCCGAAAUAUGGUGAACUAUGUCUGGGCAGGGCGAAGCCAGAGGAAACUCUGGUGGAGGUCCGUAGCGGUCCUGACGUGCAAAUCGGUCGUCCGACCUGGGUAUAGGGGCGAAAGACUAAUCGAACCAUCUGGUAGCUAGUUCCCUCCGAAGUUUCCCUCAGGAUAACUGGCGCUCAAAGUCUCGCAGUCUUAUCUGGUAAAGCGAAUGAUUAGAGGUCUUGGGGCCGAAACGAUCUCAACCUAUUCUCAAACUUUUUAUAUUUUUAAAUUUCACCUUUAUUUAACCAGGUAGGCCAGUUGAGACAAGCUCUCAUUUACAACUGCGACCUGGCCAAGAUAAAGCAAAGCAGUGCGACAAAAACAACUACACAGAGUUACACAUAAACAAACGUACAAUCAAUAACACAAUAGAAAAAUCAAUGUACAGUGUGUGCAAAUGUAGAAGAGUAGGGAGGUAAGGCAAUAAAUAGGCCACAGAGGCGAAAUAAUUACAAUUUAGCAUUAACACUGGAGUGAUAGAUGUGCAGAUGAUGAUGUGCAAGUAGAGAUACUUGGGGUGCAACUGAGCUAGAGGAUAAAUAACAAUAUGGGGAUGAGGUAGUUGGGUGUGCUAUUUACAGAUGGGCUGUGUACAGGUACUGACAGCUGAUGCUUAAAGUUAGAGAGGGGGAUAUAAGACCUCAGCUUCAGUGAUUUUUGCAAUUCGUUCCAGUCAUUGGCAGCAGAGAACUGGAAGGAAAGGCGGCCAAAGGAAGUGUUGGCUUUGGGGAUGACCAGUGAAAUAUACCUGCUGGAGUGUGUGCUAUGGGUGGGUGUGACCAGUGAGCUGAGAUAAGGCAGGGCUAUACCUAGCAAAGACUUAUAGAUGACCUGUAGCCAGUGGGUUUGGCGACGAAUAUGUGGUGAGGGCAAGCCAACCAGAGCAUACAGGUUGCAGGGGUGGGUAGUAUAUGGGUUUUGCUGACAAAAUGGAUGGCACUGUGAUAGACUACAUCCAGUUUGCUGAGUAGAGUGUUGGAGGCUAUUUUGUAAAUGACAUCGCCGAAGUCAAGGAUCGGUAGGAUAGUCAGUUUUACAAGGGUAUGUUUUGCAGCAUGAGUGAAGGAGGCUUUGUUGCAAAAUAGGAAGCCGAUUCUAGAUUUAAUUGUGGAUUGGAGAUGCUUAAUGUGAGUCUGGAAGGAGAGUUUACAGUCUAACCAGACACCUAGGUAUUUGUAGUUGUCCACAUAUUCUAAGUCAGAACCGUCCAGAGUAGUGAUGCUAGUCGGGCGGACGGGUGCGGGCAGCAAAUCGGUUGAAGAGCAUGUAUUUAGUUUUACUAGCAUUUAAAAGCAGUUGGAGGCCACGGAAGGUUUGUUGUAUGGCACCAGCAGCAAGAGCGACAUCAUUGAUAUAUACAGAGAAAAAAGUCAGCCCAAGAAUUGAACCCUGUGGCACCCCCAUAGAGACUUCUAGAGGUCCAUACAACAGGCCCUCCAAAUUGACACACUGAACUCUGUCUGAGAAGUAGUUGGUGAACCAGGCGAGGCAGUCAUUUGAGAAGCCAAGGCUAUUGAGUCUGCUGCUAAGAAUGCGGUGAUUGACAGAGUUGAAAGCCUUGGCCAGGUCAAUGAAGAUGGCUGCACAGUACUGUCUUUUAUCGAUGGCGGUUAUGAUAUCGUUUAGGACCUUGAGCGUGGCUGAGAUGCACCCAUGACCAGCUCGGAAACCAGAUUGCAUAGUGGAGAAGGUACGGUGGGAUUCGAAAUGGUCGGUGAUCUGUUUGUUAAAUUGGCUUUUGAAGAUUUUAGAAAGGCAAGGCAGGAUGAAUAUAGGUCUAUAACAGUUUGGGUCUAGAGUGUCUCCCCCUGUGAAGAUGGGGAUGACCACGGCAGCUUUCCAAUCUUUGGGGAUCUCAAACGAUACGAAAGAGACGUUGAACAGGCUAGUAAUAGGGGUUGCAACAAUUUCGGCAGAUCAUUUUAGAAAGAGAGGGUCCAGAUUGUCUAGCCCAGCUGAUUUGUCGGGAUCCAGAUUUUGCAGCUCUUUCAAAACAUCAGCUGUCUGGAUUUGGGUGAAGGAGAAGUGGGGGGGGGGGGGCUUGGGCAAGUUGCUGCAGGGGGUGCUGAGCUGUUGGCUGGGGUAGGGGUAGCCAGGUGGAAAGCAUGGCCAACCGUAGAAAAAUGCUUAUUGAAAUGAUCGAUUAUCGUAGAUUUAUUGGUGGUGACAGUGUUUCCUAGCCUCAGUGCUCUUAUUCUCCAUGGACUUUACAGUGUCCCAAAUUUUUGGGGAAUUAGUGCUACAGGAUGCAAAUUUCUGUUUGAAAAAGCUAGCCUUAGCUUUCCUAACUGAGUAUAUUGGUUCCUGACUUCCCUGAAAGUUGCAUAUCACGGGGGCUAUUCGAUGCUAAUGCAGAACGCCACAGGAUGUUUUUGUGCUGGUCAAGGGCAGUCAAGUCUAGGGUGAACCAAGGCUAUAUCUGUUCUUAGUUCUACAAACUUCAAAUGGGUAAGAAGCCCGGCUUGGAGCCGGGCGUGGAAUGCGAGUUGCCUAGUGGGCCACAUUUGGUAAGCAAAACUGGCGUGGCGGGAUGAACUGAACGCCGGGUAAAGGCGCCUGAUGCCGACGCUCAUUAGACCCUAGAAAAGGUUGAUAUAAACAGCAGGACGGUGGCCAUGGAAGUCGGAAUCCGCUAAGGAGUGUGUAACAACUCACCUGCCGAAUCAACUAGCCCUGAAAAUGGAUAAAUAUUCAAACGAGAACUUUGAAGGCCGAAGUGGAGAAGGGUUCCAUGUGAACAGCAGUCGAACAUGGGUCAGUCGGUCCUAAGAGAUGUAUGCUCUCUGGGCGAACGCCGUUCGGAAGGGAGGGGCGAUGGCCUCGAAAGAGAUUCAGGUUCAGAUCCCCAAAUCCGGAGUGGCGGAGAUGGACGCUGCGAGUCGAACGGUAACGCGACCCUUUCCCAGAGAAGCUGGUGGGAAUCCCGGGGAGAGUUCUCUUUUCUUUGUCAAGGACAGGGCGCCCUGGAAUGGGUUCCGAGAGAGGGGCCCAAUCCCUGGAAAGAGUUGCGGUUACGGCGGCGUCCGGUGAGCUCUCGCUGGCCCUUGAAAAUCUGGGGGAUAGGGUGUAAAUCUCGCGCCGGGCCGUACCCACAUCAGGUCUCGAUUUAUAAGUCCAGGAU